rnacentral:rRNA from 1 species
CCUACGGGUGGCAGCAGUGAGGAAUAUUGGUCAAUGGGCGCGAGCCUGAACCAGCCAAGCAGCGUGAAGGAUGACUGUCCUACGGGUUGUAAACUUCUUUUAUAAAGGAAUAAAGUGAGGCACGUGUGCCUUUUUGUAUGUACUUUAUGAAUAAGGAUCGGCUAACUCCGUGCCAGCAGCCGCGGUAAUACGGAGGCUGCGAGCGUUAUCCGGAGUUAUUGGGUUUAAAGGGCGCGUAGAUUGGUUGUCAAGUCAGUUGUGAAAGUUUGCGGCUCAACCGUAAAAUUGCAAUUGAGACUGGCAGCCUUGAGGACAGGUGAGGUAGGCGGAAUUCGUGGUGUAGCGGUGAAAUGCUUAGAUAUCACGAAGAACUCCGAUUGCGAAGGCAGCGUACUAAAC